UCCAAACAGGGCCCAACCAGCAAUCUA
rnacentral:sRNA from 1 species